GAAAGUUAUUCGCGGAAGCAAAGGAGCUUCGAAGUAAAGGAAAGCGGUUCUCGAUGACAAGAUCUUAUGAUCUUCUGCGAGUAUCCGCGUUCUUGUUGUAACGUUAACAAAAUUGUAAUUCUGACUAUA